GAUGAACGCUAGCUACAGGCUUAACACAUGCAAGUCGAGGGGUAACGAGAGGGAAGCUUGCCUUCCUUGUCGACGACCGGCGCACGGGUGAGUAACGCGUAUCCAACCUGCCCCCAACUAGGGAAUAACCUUGCGAAAGUAAGACUAAUACCCUAUAAUUUCCUCAGAUGUCAUCUGACGAGGAAUAAAGAUUUAUCGGUUGUGGAUGGGGAUGCGUCUGAUUAGCUUGUUGGCGGGGUAACGGCCCACCAAGACAACGAUCAGUAGGGGUUCUGAGAGGAAGGUCCCCCACAUUGGAACUGAGACACGGUCCAAACUCCUACGGGAGGCAGCAGUGAGGAAUAUUGGUCAAUGGGCGGAAGCCUGAACCAGCCAAGUAGCGUGCAGGAUGACGGCCCUAUGGGUUGUAAACUGCUUUUAUACAGGAAUAAAGUUAGCCACGUGUGGUUAUUUGUAGGUACUGUAUGAAUAAGGACCGGCUAAUUCCGUGCCAGCCGCCGCCGUAA
rnacentral:rRNA from 1 species